rnacentral:rRNA from 1 species
UACAGAGGUGGCAAGCGUUGUUCGGAAUUACUGGGCGUAAAGGGCGCGUAGGCGGCUUUUUAAGUCAGACGUGAAAUCCCCCGGCUUAACCUGGGAACUGCGUCUGAUACUGGGAAGCUUGAGUUCGGGAGAGGGAUGUAGAAUUCCAGGUGUAGCGGUGAAAUGCGUAGAUAUCUGGAGGAAUACCGGUGGCGAAGGCGGCAUCCUGGACCGAAACUGACGCUGAGGCGCGAAAGCUAGGGGAGCAAACGGG